rnacentral:rRNA from 1 species
GAACGCUGGCGGAGGCUUACACAUGCAAGUCGAGCGGUAACAUUUCUAGCUUGCUAGAAGAUGACGAGCGGCGGACGGGUGAGUAACGCGUAGGAAUCUGCCUAGUAGUGGGGGACAACAUGUGGAAACGCAUGCUAAUACCGCAUACGCCCUACGGGGGAAAGGAGGGGAUCUUCGGACCUUUCGCUAUUAGAUGAGCCUGCGUGAGAUUAGCUAGUUGGUGGGGUAAAGGCCUACCAAGGCGACGAUCUCUAGCUGGUCUGAGAGGAUGAUCAGCCACACUGGGACUGAGACACGGCCCAGACUCCUACGGGAGGCAGCAGUGGGGAACAUUGGACAAUGGGCGCAAGCCUGAUCCAGCCAUGCCGCGUGUGUGAAGAAGGCCUUAGGGUUGUAAAGCACUUUCAGGAGUGAGGAAGGGCGUAUAGUUAAUACCUGUAUGUUUUGACGUUAACUCCAGAAGAAGCACCGGCUAACUCUGUGCCAGCAGCCGCGGUAAUACAGAGGGUGCGAGCGUUAAUCGGAAUUACUGGGCGUAAAGCGCGCGUANGCGGUUUGUUAAGUCGGAUGUGAAAUCCCA